UACGUAGGGGGCAAGCGUUGCCCGGAUUUAUUGGGCGUAAAGAGCGUGUAGGCGGCCUGAAAGGUCAGCUGUGAAAACUCGAGGCUCAACCUCGAGACGUCGGUUGAAACCAUCUGGCUAGAGUCCGGAAGAGGAGAGUGGAAUUCCCGGUGUAGCGGUGAAAUGCGCAGAUAUCGGGAAGAACACCCGUGGCGAAGGCGGCUCUCUGGGACGGUACUGACGCUGAGACGCGAAAGCGUGGGGAGCGAACAGG
rnacentral:rRNA from 1 species